AUUGAACGCUGGCGGCAUGCCUUACACAUGCAAGUCGAACGGCAGCACGGGUGCUUGCACCUGGUGGCGAGUGGCGAACGGGUGAGUAAUACAUCGGAACGUACCUUAUCGUGGGGGAUAACGCAGCGAAAGCUGUGCUAAUACCGCAUACGCCCUGAGGGGGAAAGCGGGGGGUCGAAAGACCUCGCGCGAUUAGAGCGGCCGCUGCCUGAUUAGCUUGUUGGUGGGGUAAAAGCCCACCAAGGCGACGAUCAGUAGCUGGUCGGAGAGGACGAGCAGCCACACUGGGACGAAGACACGGCCCAGACUGCUACGGGAGGCAGCAGUGGGGAAUUUUGGACAAUGGGGGCAACCCUGAUCCAGCAAGGCCGCGUGAGUGAAGAAGGGCUUCGGGUUGUAAAGCUCUUUUGUCAGGGAAGAAACACCGGCUCUAACACAGUCCGGGAAUGACGGUACCUGAAGAAUAAGCACCGGCUAACUACGUGCCAGCCGCCGCGGUAA
rnacentral:rRNA from 1 species